rnacentral:rRNA from 1 species
UGAGGAAUAUUGCUCAAUGGGAGAAAUCCUGAAGCAGCAACGCCGCGUGGAGGAUGAAGGGUCUAUGACUUGUAAACUCCUGUAAAGAAGGAAAAAAUUCCCAUUUGAUGGGAGAUGAUGGUACUUCUGGAGUAAGCCCCGGCUAACUACGUGCCAGCAGCCGCGGUAAUACGUAGGGGGCAAGCGUUGUCCGGAUUUACUGGGUGUAAAGGGUGCUCAGGCGGAUUUGUAAGUCAGAGGUGAAAUCUUACAGCUUAACUGUGAAACUGCCUUUGAUACUGCAAGCCUAGAGUAUGGAAGAGAGUGAUGGAAUAUCUGGUGUAGCAGUGAAAUGCGUAGAUAUCAGAUAGAACACCAAUGGCGAAGGCAGUCACUUGGUCCAUUACUGACGCUAAAGCACGAAAGCGUGGGUAGCAAACA